rnacentral:lncRNA from 1 species
CAGCACACAGGGUUCAUUUCCAGACUGAAAGACAUCCCAGAGACAACUCCAGAGGCCAAGGCGGGUCGGCUUCCUGCGUGGGCCCAGCGCCGGGCACUGAAAGGUGAAGGCGCUUCUUCCGCUCGGAGGAAAGCCUCUGGCGGUUCUCGCUUCGCGGGCUCGGGAUGGACACGCGCGUAGGGCUGGGGAGGUGACGCGCGGACAACGCCGGGGCGAGCAAACUACAACUCCCAGGCAGCUGUGCGCCACGCGGGCGGCCUACUGUCGGGUGUGGCCGCGAGGGGCGGCCUAUAUAAGCUCUUGCUCGCGGCUUCAGCGCCCUUUCUCCCCGCCGCAUUCCCGGUGUCGACUUACUAGCUGCAAGCCUCUGCCUGCCUUCCUGCGCGCCGUUCCCCGCUAGUCGCUGCUGCUGGCGCGCACUCGCCGGGUUUUUCCUCCCACGGCCUCGAGAUGGUGGUGAAUGUGGCACGGAGGAGCCGGGCCUUCCAACCCGGUGGGCCCGAGCUCCGAAAGGCCCCCUCGGCAGUGAGAGGGGCGGGAGCCCGCGGGGGCCGCGCCCUUCUCUCGCUUCGGACUGCGCAACGCUGCGCUCUGGGCUGACAGGCGGAUAAAACGGUCCCAUCAAGACUGAGAAAAAGCACACCAGCUAUUGGCACAGCGUGGGCAGUGGGGCCUACAGGAUGACUGACUUAGUCUACAGAGAUCCCGGCGUACUUAAGCAGGUAGUAAUGAUGGACAGUCUGAAUUGCCCCUUGGCCCUUAUCGAAGCUGCAGCUGCUUCCGCAUAGCUGCUGUGGUCAAAAAGGAGCCCAGAGUGACAGUUUUCCUUGACGGUCGCCGUUCUGUUUGUUGUAACUGAUCUGCAACAUUUUGGGAAAAUACAGUUCCAUUGUACCUGCCACCUUUCAGCUGUAGCCAGAGACCUUUAUCAAAAUGGGCUUGUUUCCACAGAACAGCAGAACGGUUGGGGGUUUGCAUGUACAGUUAACCAGCAUAAGACUCGUACUGGGAAAAUCCAGCUGGGAUGUGACACAGCUUAACUGAUAGCUUAAGGCAUCAGUAUUGGGACCAAAGGCUGGUCAGAUUUGUAUCAUUCUGAGGACCAAAUGAUGGGAACAAUAAAAUUGUUCAUGACAGUUGUUCUCAUUUUGCUGUCCAGAUGAAGACUCUUAAGAUGACAGAAGGUGAUUUUUCUGGUGAUCGAGGACUUCCGGGGUAAUGACAGUGAUGAAAUGCAGGGGACCUGGUAGGUUUCUUUUGGAGACUAACUGGGGGCUGCCUGGUGGGACAGAACAGCAUGUUUCCAAGGGCUGUGGCUGGUCAUAGCCAUGGGAUCUCCAACUGCAUGCAAGAGCAACCUGGAAAGACUUUGACAGCGCAGCGCUAAGCUUUUUGUUCUGCAGGUUGCCCCCAAGUUUCCUGGCAGUGUGUGAUACUGAGGAGGUGAGCUUGUUUCUGGAGCUGUGCUUUAAGGUAAAGUUGAUCAGCUUAAUCCUCCUGAUCCCUUUCCCAUCGGAUCUGAACACUGGUCUUGGUGGUCGUAAAAGGAGGAAAAGUAAUAGUGAAGCUGGCCUAAAUGUUGUAAUCUGGUAUAUGGCAUGUGGGCUAGUUUCAGACAGGUUUCAGAGAUGGUUGGAUCUCUGAAAUUGUAAAAUGAAGUAUAAUCUUAGGCUAAGGGAAGGAUGCGUGUGAAGCUCUGGAGGUUGGUAUAGUAAUAGCUGACCUAUUACUGCAUUUGGGAGGGAUCUGUCAUAGCUUCCUUGCCUCUUAAUUAAGGGUGGUGUUUUUUUCUUUUAGAUUCAUGUUACAUGUAAAGCUGUCCUCAUUUGUGACUAUGGACCUAUGGAGUUGGGACAAUCUCUAUGGGAAGCAGAAGGCAAGGACCCCGGUCAUUUUAGGUAGAAACAACAGCAUGCUAAUGCAAAAAAUUAUGCAGUGUGCUACUGAACUUCAGAGGUGAUCAAUAAAAGAAGAAUAAAAAGACUAAUAAAAGUAUAUUUGUGUUUGUAUUUUUUUGUAGAGACCGAACUGGUCUCUU